CAUCCAGCGCCGGUGCUUACGCCAAUUACGUAGAGCGGAGCCCCGGCGCUAACGGCGAGGCUGGAGUACCGACGGACGUCGUUUGCGCAGUCCACGCCGCGGCAGAGAGAGUUCUGGCGGAGCUUACGAACUCUACGUAGCCGCUAGGGAGAGCUCUUCAAUGGCUUACGCUCGAGUAGCGGGAGGGCAGCGCCGAGGGGCGGGAACUGCCCGGGCCCGGCCCCGGACGGUGACGUACCGGGCUUUGUGAAUCCCAGGCUGAAGUUCGGUUGAGUCACAGGAGGCCUGCAGGAGGUACCCUCGGGGACCGGCCGGUCCUGCUCUCUGGGCAGCGCUGAGCCAGGGCAAAGCUGCAAGCAAGCAGUCGUGGACCACACAGGACCGCCGACACGAAGCACAGACUCUUCAAGACCCACAUGUUGGGAAGGAACCAGCAAUAUUUUCUGUGAGCAAGACACACACUGCUUCUUCACGAGGAACCCACCAUCCUUCUUGCAAAUCUCCCUUCCUAAAACCAUCCUUAGACCUUCUCUACACCUGCCC